CAAGGAGUUUUAGUGAAACUGUGGGAGGGUGAAAGGUAAUGGGUCAGGCCGCGGGAUUAUGAUUUGCUGUGGGUUGUUGGUGGUGUCUCGACUCUAAGCAGUAGGCUCGAGGGAUAUGUCGAUAAUGGCGGGGUGGUCGUUGGUUGGUGGCGACUGAGAGCCUUGAUGGUGCGGCUAAUGGGGCUAUUAUUGGUGGAAUUAUGAGCGGUGUUUUAGGUGGAGCUUAGGUUUGGCUGUUAACAGUGGCGUGGUAGGAUUGUGGGGCAGAAUCAGUUAGGGGCUGGAUGCUCACUAGGUGGCUUAUUUGAGGUGUGGGGGGAGAUAGUUGUUUCAGGUUGUGGCGUGGAUGGUGGGUGAAAGCCGAAUGGUAUUGGGUGGGCUUCGAUAAUGGUGAAAAAAUUUGUUUACCCUAUCCUCCUAAUUCAAUUCGCUUCCUAUUUCUUUGUGUAUUGGGGUCUUCCCUGUAGAAUCCCCGUUCUCUUGAAAGAACAUGGGAUUAAAUUCAUUUUGGACUAUCGCCUUUUGUGGCUGCAUAUUUUAAGAUGAUGCUUGCUAACUUUUGGAUGAAAAGGAAAGUGAUGAACGUUUGAUCAAAUUGUGCUUAAGGCAGAGGAUGGCAAAUUUUAGGGUUAAAUGAUGAAAGUUGAAAUUGGGAUGGUUUUGGGGAACAUUUUUGGGUUUAGG
rnacentral:lncRNA from 1 species